GCGCUCAGUUGGGCAGCACACAUAUUGAAAUUGGAAUAAUACCGAGAAAAUUAGCAUGGCCUCUGAGCAAGGAUGACAAAGGCGAGUGACAGGUGAACAACAGGUGU
ensembl:snRNA U6 U6 spliceosomal RNA